rnacentral:tRNA from 1 species
GCCAGUUUGGCUCAGUGGAUAGAGUGUUGGCUUGCGAACUGAAGUCACGGGUUCAAUUCCAGUAGAGGGCA